AUGAAGGGCGUAUGUGACAUAGAAGAUGGCGAGCUACAUCUUGCAUCUACAAAUGAGGGCGACCUAGGCCCGUGUUCGACACUGCAGUUCUUGGUUGGUGUGUCAGAUAGCAACCCAGGCAGCGGUGUGAGGCGGGUCUGGUCUUGGUACUAUGUUGAUAGCGAGGGUGCAAGGCUCAAGGGAAGCAGCCGGUUCUGUAGUUCUUUGUAUGCUUAUAGUAUCUUGGAUGAGGGUUACAAAUUCAACAUGUCAGUUGAGGAAGCUGCUGAGUUAGCAUGGCGGGCUUUUAUCACGCAAUAUUCCGUGACAGAGCUAGUAGUGGCUGUGUUCCUGGUGGUGUGCUGA
rnacentral:rRNA from 1 species